GGAUGUUGGCAUACCAAAUAUUCUAGAUAAAACUAUGUAUGUUUUCAUUCUCCAGGAACAGACUCUUUCAUCCCUAGCACCGAGCAUAAUGCCUGAUGUAUAGCAGGAACUCAGAUAGUUGUGGAACAAAGAACUAAAUUUGAGCUGCUCUUAUAAGCUGAGUCAUGAAAAUUGCCAUCUCUCCAGCACACGCUCCUAACGUGGGAGGUGAGAACACAGUAAGAAGGCGGCCAUCUGUGACCAAGGAAGCAGAUCUCUCCAGACACCAAAUCUGCCGGCACCUCCAUCUGAGCUGUCCAGCCUCUAGAACUAUGAUGAAACAAAUUCAUAUAUAACCUGCCUGAAUAGAUGAAGACAAUGGCAAAAUCUGAUUUAUUCUGGAAGUUUCUACAAUAGAGAGAGACAGAGCAUGAGAUGGAGAGGAGCAGAGAGGGG